GAAAAGAAGAAGAAAUGGCAGUAAAGAGGGCAACCAUCAUUCCACCCAGCCCAAAAGGAAUAAGAGAAACCCUAUCUUUCAGGAUUCUCAAGAUACAGAGUUUUCAUGGAGUGAUAAUGAAAGGAGCAGCAGCCGCAUUAAUA
rnacentral:sRNA from 1 species